rnacentral:rRNA from 1 species
UACGGGGGGGGUAAGCGUUGUUCGGAAUUACUGGGCGUAAAGGGCUCGUAGGCGGCCAACUAAGUCAUACGUGAAAUCCCUCAGCUUAACUGGGGAACUGCGUGUGAUACUGGAUGGCUUGGAUUUGGGAGAGGGAUGCGGAAUUCCAGGUGUAGCGGUGAAAUGCGUAGAUAUCGGGAGGAACACCAGUGGCGAAGGCGGCGACCUGGACAGAUAUUGACGCUGAGGUGCGAAAGCGUGGGGAGCAAACAGG